rnacentral:rRNA from 2 species
GUGGUUUAAUUCGAAGCAACGCGAAGAACCUUACCAGGGCUUGACAUGCCGCUGACCGGUGCAGAGAUGCAUCUUACCCUUCGGGUACAGCGGACACAGGUGGUGCAUGGUUGUCGUCAGCUCGUGUCGUGAGAUGUUGGGUUAAGUCCCGCAACGAGCGCAACCCUUGUCUUUAGUUGCCAUCAUUAAGUUGGGCACUCUAAAGAGACUGCCGAUGACAAAUCGGAGGAAGGUGGGGAUGACGUCAAAUCAUCAUGCCCUUUAUGUCCUGGGCUACACACGUGCUACAAUGGUCGGUACAACGAGAAGCAAGUCAGCGAUGGCAAGCAAAUCUCUAAAAGCCGAUCCCAGUUCGGAUUGCAGGCUGCAAUUCGCCUGCAUGAAGUCGGAAUCGCUAGUAAUCGCAGGUCAGCAUACUGCGGUGAAUACGUUCCCGGGCCUU